GUCACAGCUUGUUCACAUGUCACAACCAUGGUCACUCCUUGGCCUAGUGACUGUCCCCAGGCCCAACGGAGAACAGCAUGGAAAACGAACCCUGCAGAACAAAGCCAGCCGGGAUUCCAGGACAAGCUCUGGCCACGUUCUCCGCCGGCAUCAAAAGGGACCGUGUCCAUCUGAGACGGGGAGCGACCCUCUCCAGUAGCGUCUGGUCCAGCAGGAUGUGUCCCCAGACUCUCCCAGGACUGAGUCGGUGUAACGCAGACCCGAUGCCUGGCCAAGCGGAAGCCCUGCUGCGUCACUGUGCAGUGUCUCGUGCUCAUGUACCGGGUCGGCAAAACCCUGAAGCUCACCCAGCGAGAGGCCGCUGCCACCCAAGGGCUGACCGAUGGGGCAGGCCACAGGCACCCUGCUGACGGCAUCUGGGGGACAGAACUGCGUCCUGGAGCUCCAUGAGCCGCCCGCCUGGCGCCAGAGGCUGCAGCUAACGGCUCUGGGCGGCUCCCACCUGGGGCUGAAGGACACGUGCCCCCUUCUGACUGACCCGCUGGGAACAUGCCACUCCCACAGCCCCUGCAGACCCCACAAGGGCUUCCAACGUUAAAACAGACCUAGAUGAUACAGGUACGGACACAGUACGUUCUAAAGCUUCUAGAUGCUCAUACGUUCUACUUAAUUCCAGUAACUACAGUCCACGCUGCAUGUCUGGGUUCCCAGGGUGGGUGUGCGACGCGCCUCACCAUUUACAGGAUUCAUUCCAUUCCUCCAACCUUCCCCCGUGUCCGGCUGAGGCCGACUCCUCUUUGGAGAACUGGGUAAAUAAAAUCGCCUCCAAUGGCCCCAAAAUAUGCUUCGGAUCUUUGCAGUGGGCACAGUCCCCGCCAGCAAGGACAAGGGCUGACAGCCAGGUGUGGGGUGUGAGCCUGCAGCCCGGCCCGGGUCACAGGAGCCACGGCUCCUGACCUGCUUCCAGACGCCCAGCUAAGAGCUCGGCACAGACCCUCACGGCAGCCGGGACAGAGCACGGGGCCCCUGGGGGGAGGGCAGGAGCCCAGAGACCCCUGCAGCCAGGUCAGGAGCUGCUCUGGGGGGAGGGGCCCCGCCCCGAGGACGGCCGCCCAGGGUCAAGGGUGCGUCGGGAGAAAGGCAGCUCCAGGGGCCGGGCUGCCGUCAAGGGCUGAGCAGAGGCUCCACGGCCGAGCUGGGUGUGAGCCCACGCCCGGCCCAGCCUCAGCUCUGAGCCCCACCUGGGGGCACCUGGACAUUAGCCGGGCACCAGGAGGGAAGGACCAGUGGCCAGUGGACCCUGUGGGGGGGUUUGGCUGGGUUGAGCCAGAGGAGGCGUGAGAUGAACUGUGAUGCCGGCAGGGGACGUAGCAUAAGCUGAAGCAGCCACACCUGGAUCCUAAGUCCCUUACAUGAGAGCACCUGCUCCAGGUGACAACGUACAGCUCGCUGUGCUGGGCCCACGGCCACGCACUGAAGGGGGCCCACAGGGCGCUGGGGGGCAGGGCAGGCUGUCACCGCUACACAGGUCCCGUCAGGCCAGCGGAGGGCGGCGCCAAUGAAGAACCCCACCUAGCCUUCCGGAAUCUCCUCGGACGCUCCUGGCUCUGCUCCCAGGGUCGGGGAACCUGACAGGGGGCCGCAUGUGUGGUCACGCCCCCGUCUGCUCUGGCGGGUUCUGUCAUCCCACCCCCCACCCUCACUCAGGACGGGUGUGACCGCAGUGACAAACAUCGACGAGAUCCAUCCUGUGGAAAGACGUCCGCAGACCCUAUCCCACCCUCAGGCAGAGCAGGGAGGACGCUGCCCCUCAGACCAGGGUGGAGAGGGGCCCGUGAGCUGGACCCCACACUCGCCUCCAGGCGCCUGACUGGCCUCGAUCCUGGGGUGGCCCCUGUGCUGUCCUGGCUGGGGGGCCUGGGACUCGGGGUGUUCUCAGGAGCAGCCUGCCUCUUCCCGGAGGGGGCUGCACAGGGGGACCGGCUCUGUGCUCCCUGAACUGCUCCGGGUCCCCUCCUUGGUCAUUUGAGGCAGGCAGUGCUUGGCGAGACGGCCUGGAACCCCAACAUGUCUCUGAUCACAGCCUCGUGUCCUCCCGCAGGCGAACGUGGUCGGCACAUUUUCUGGAGGCCCCCCAGGUAUUCUGAACACCCCCAGGGCCAGUGCAGGAGCCCACAUCCUCCAGUGCCGGGCACCUCUGGCCCUGAUUAACUCAUCGGGGAGGCGAGUGGGAUGGGGGUGGGCACAGCCUGGCCUCCAGGACCCCUGAGCCCAAAUGCCCUGUCAACCCCUGUCUCUCAGGAAGAGGGUCGUGGUCACCCACUCAGGUUGUGCAGCGAGGGCACGUCCAGCUUGAGGACAGACCUGUCUGUGCUCUGAGUCUGUCAGUCCCAGAACGGGCUGCGUUAUGGAAAGCGCUGGCUCCUAAGUGUCCACAGGGCAGUGGGGUCCCUGGACCAGCCAGGAGGGCUUCCUGGAAGAGGCGAGGUUUGAAGGGAGAAGCGAGAGGCCACACUGCAGGCAGCGGGAGGGGCGUGGGGUGACCUGGGGCAGGUGGGGCUCGCCGCCGUGAGGCCGGGGCACUGCAGGGGCGAGGAGGGGCCGUGCUGUGUUCUGGGGGCUGCAGGGAGGCCCAUGGAAUGGAGGCGGCCACUGGGGUGCAGACAACAGGCUGGACGACCAGGGCCCAGAGCGUCUGGGCAGGGGUGCAUGUCCUGGAAAUCCACGGUCCUCUGGGCCCAGCAGGGAGCUGAGCAAGGGUCCGGGGCUCAGCCUCCAUCGGCCACACAUGGUCCCCAGGCCCACGCGACCCACCCAGACCCUCAGGCAGCACUUGGUGGACUCUGGACCCCACUCAAGCUGGGCUGAGGGGUUCUAGUAUAUUCAGAUGCAUCUGGUCAAGGGGUCUGCCUGCC